rnacentral:rRNA from 1 species
AUUGAACGCUGGCGGCAGGCCUAACACAUGCAAGUCGAGCGGCAGCGGGGGAAGGCUUGCUUUCCCGCCGGCGAGCGGCGGACGGGUGAGUAAUGUCUGGGAAACUGCCUGAUGGAGGGGGAUAACUACUGGAAACGGUAGCUAAUACCGCAUAACGUCUUCGGACCAAAGUGGGGGACCUUCGGGCCUCAUGCCAUCAGAUGUGCCCAGAUGGGAUUAGCUAGUUGGUGGGGUAACGGCUCACAAAGGCGACGAUCCCUAGCUGGUCUGAGAGGAUGACCAGCCACACUGGAACUGAGAAACGGUCCAGACUCCUACGGGAGGCAGCAGUGCGGAAUAUUGCACAAUGGGCGCAAGCCUGAUGCAGCCAUGCCGCGUGUAUGAAGAAGGCCUUCGGGUUGUAAAGUACUUUCAGCGGGGAGGAAGGUGUUGUGGUUAAUAACCGCAGCAAUUGACGUUACCCGCAGAAGAAGCACCGGCUAACUCCGUGCCAGCAGCCGCCGUAA